rnacentral:misc_RNA from 1 species
AACAGGAUGCCUGAUAUGUAAUUCCGUUGUCUAAUAUUCGAGUUCGCAUCCACUAGAAAAUUUUUCUUUUGGCCCAUGGGAAGCCCAAUUAACAUUGGAGAAGACGAUUUAGGGCAUGAAAGCAGUUGUUUCUAAUUAGCAGAAGGCCACCUGGUGUGAAGAAGAUGCACAGUUUCACGGGCCCUGUACUUACGAAUGUAUGGCACUGGACUCUUUUAAGAUAAGU